rnacentral:rRNA from 1 species
GGUGAACGCUGGCGGCGUGCUUAAGACAUGCAAGUCGAACGCAGUCUUCGGACUGAGUGGCGCACGGGUGAGUAACACGUAACUGACCUACCCCCAAGUCGCGAAUAACCAGCCGAAAGGAUGGCUAAUACGUGAUGUGAUGAUCCGCUGUGGCGGAUCAUUAAAGACUUGAUCGCUUGGGGAUGGGGUUGCGUUCCAUCAGCUAGUUGGUAAGGUAAAGGCUUACCAAGGCAACGACGGAUAGCCGGCCUGAGAGGGUGGCCGGCCACAGGGGGUCUGAGUCACGGGUCCCACUCCGACGGGAGGCAGCAGUUAGAGAUCUGCGUCAAUGGGCGCAAGCCUGAGGGGGCGACGCCGCGAGAGGGAUGACGGUUAUCGGAUCGUAAACCUCUGAACCAACGACGUAAGACCCGACGAGGGAGAUGUCGGUAGUUGGGUAAUAGCACCGGCUAACUCCGAGCCAGAAGCCGCAGUAACAC